GGCCUGAUGGUCUAGUAGUAUGAUUCCUUGUUAGGGCCUUGUUUGCAUGUGAUCUAAUCGAGGAGGUCCCGGGUUCAAUUCCCGGUCAGGCCC